GAUGAACGCUAGCUACAGGCUUAACACAUGCAAGUCGAGGGGUAACAAGAGAAAAGCUUGCUUUUCUUGUCGACGACCGGCGCACGGGUGAGUAACGCGUAUCCAACCUGCCUAUAACUAGGGAAUAACCUUGCGAAAGUAAGACUAAUACCCUAUGAUUUCCUUUGAUGACAUCAGAUUAGGAAUAAGUAUUUAUCGGUUAUAGAUGGGGAUGCGUCUGAUGAGCUUGUUGGCGGGGUAACGGCCCACCAAGGCAACGAUCAGUAGGGGUUCUGAGAGGAAGGUCCCACACAUUGGAACUGAGACACGGUCCAAACUCCUACGGGAGGCAGCAGUGCGGAAUAUUGGUCAAUGGGCGGAAGACUGAACCAGCCAAGUAGCGUGCAGGAUGACGGCCCUAUGGGUUGUAAACUGCUUUUAUACAGGAAUAAAGUUAGCCACGUGUGGUUAUUUGUAGGUACUGUAUGAAUAAGGACCGGCUAACUCCGUGCCAGCCGCCGCCGUAA
rnacentral:rRNA from 1 species